GACGAACGCUGGCGGCGUGCUUAACACAUGCAAGUCGAACGGAAAGGCCCUGCUUUUGUGGGGUGCUCGAGUGGCGAACGGGUGAGUAACACGUGAGUAACCUGCCCUUGGCUUUGGGAUAACUUCAGGAAACUGGGGCUAAUACCGGAUAGGAGCUCCUGCUGCAUGGUGGGGGUUGGAAAGUUUCGGCGGUUGGGGAUGGACUCGCGGCUUAUCAGCUUGUUGGUGGGGUAGUGGCUUACCAAGGCUUUGACGGGUAGCCGGCCUGAGAGGGUGAACGGCCACAUUGGGACUGAGAUACGGACCAGACUCCUACGGGAGGCAGCAGUGGGGAAUAUUGCACAAUGGGCGGAAGCCUGAUGCAGCAACGCUGCGUGCGGGAUGCCGGCCUUCGGGUUGUAAACCGCUUUCGCCUGUGACGAAGCGUGAGUGACGGUAAUGGGUAAAGAAGCACCGGCUAACUACGUG
rnacentral:rRNA from 1 species